UGACGAAAUUGAUUGACUAAUCGAAAAUAACUUCAAUUAAGAAGUUAAACGGUAACCACCACCGUGGAUUCCUCUAAAAUGUGUUUUUAUUAAAUCUGUCUGUUAUAUCGGAGAAUUCAAAUAUGGGACAAAACAAACAGAGAAGAUUGUUUUUUUUUUUCGAUUCUAUCCCACUAUGGAUCGGUUUAUCUGGGAUAAGCCGGAACCGAUUUGGCCCCUCUACAAUAACAAAAGACCUCUAUUGGAAAUCGAGCCCACGACUGCGCACUGGCAACCAGAUUAGGCUACCAACUCGGCUACCGGGGCGCCCCGCUUUACAAACUCCAUAAUGCUGCCUAAGAUAAAAUAUGCUCAUCAGUUUGAUGAGAAACUUUUAUUUUGCGGUCCAAUUUUGUUUUAUUGUGUCAUUUGGUUUACAAUUGAAAACAUUUGAUAUUUGAAAUUUUAA